CCAAAUUGAAUCUUGUGUGUUUCAACCUUUCUCGCAUCUCUUUAGCCACCUAAUUACUAAUUGCCUAGAGAUCUUCAACUUCCUCCCUUCAUCUAACAAAAAUUGUUGCUACAAUUCUCAACACUUUAUCGCAGGCUUUUAUAGCAUACUUUUAGGGACAACGUUCCACCAUUAUAUAUUAUCAAUUAACCACACAUCCACCUAUUGAGGCCAUCAUUGAUAUCGAUUCGAAUAAUUGAGUUUUGUAUAUGGGUUUGACGUGAAAGCAAAAGCGAAGAGCGAAUCGGAGAAAAAUUUGGUGCAAAAAUGAAUCUCUCUUGAGUGACUAAGUUAGGGUGGGCAAUCAAGGAAGCAAGGAAAACUUUACAUGGGUUAAGGAAUUUUUUGUAGACUAGCCGGGGUGUGAGUCCCCCUCUCAACCCCUGCUAGCUCCGCCCCUGAGCAUGUAAAUUACUUAAUGAAAUGAGAUGAAUCGUAGAGUCAAAGUUCGAGCAUAUAA